GACAGAGAUUCUGGAUACUUUAGAAGCGAGAGAGUGCGUUAAUGGGUCAGGCAGGGCAGGGAAGUAGGGCAGGGCAGGGAUACACUGGAGUGCACUGAUACUCCACAUUGUGAUUGGAUUGCUGUUCUCGUUUCCAUACGACACCGUGCCUGUGAUACCUGGGGACUGACUAUCUUAGGGAAGCGGAGCUCAUUCUCUUCACAAGUGGCGGCCUCGUAGCCACAGUGGGCUUCGAAGUGUGGUGGUGGUGACUGUGGGGAGCCCCAGAGAGGCGUUGAACCGAGAUACUCUGCCUGAUGAAGCAACCUUUUCAGCAACUGCGACAGCUAGAUUAUGGAACAUGGGGCUCUGACCAGUCAAUGCCGGAGAUCAAUUGCCAACACAUGAGCCUGUUGGUGGGGCCCUUCCAGUCAAAAGUGAGUGACGACGGCUCCUGGCCUUCCUUUGAGGCAGUUUCCUUUCACUGUUCCUCUGCAGAGAGACAGAUGAAAUUCCCAUGCAAAUGCCUAACCCUACGGGUUUCGUUUGUUGUGAUUGCUUUAAUAUGAGCUUUGGAAGCCUCUAGGUCUUCAUGUUGAUAACCCAAGAUAAUAGUGGUUGAAGGCUCAAAAAAGCAAGGCACACUUCUCUCCUGUGGUAAAACAUGUUGCAGCCUUUCAGCUGUAAUUUAUGGCUUUAAAAAUGUUUUAAAAAACUUA